GACGAACCGUGCGAACGUUGUUCGGAAUCACUGGGCUUAAAGGGCGCGUAGGCGGGCCCGCAAGUCAGGGGUGAAAUCCCACGGCUCAACCGUGGAAGUGCCUUUGAUACUGCGGGUCUCGAGGGAGGUAGGGGCGUGCGGAACUUCCGGUGGAGCGGUGAAAUGCGUAGAUAUCGGAAGGAACACCGGUGGCGAAAGCGGCGCGCUGGACCUCUUCUGACGCUGAGGUGCGAAAGCCAGGGGAGCAAACGGG
rnacentral:rRNA from 1 species